rnacentral:rRNA from 1 species
ACUGACCAAACUCCUACAGGAGGUCCCCUGAGGGAAUCUUCCACAAUGCACUAAAGUCUGACAGAGCUUCUCCCCGAGACUGAUGAAAGUUUUCAGAGCCUUGACCUCUGCUGGUAUGUAACAUUUUUUGUUAUAUUAACUGCUCGCACCUUCUUAGUACCUAACCAGAAAGCCACGGCUAACUACGUGCCAGCAGCCGCGGUAAUACGUAGGUGGCAAGCGUUGUCCGGAAUUAUUGGGCGUAAAGGGCUCGCAGGCGGUUUCUUAAGUCUGAUGUGAAAGCCCCCGGCUCAACCGGGGAGGGUCAUUGGAAACUGGGAAACUUGAGUGCAGAAGAGGAGAGUGGAAUUCCACGUGUAGCGGUGAAAUGCGUAGAGAUGUGGAGGAACACCAGUGGCGAAGGCGACUCUCUGGUCUGUAACUGACGCUGAGGAGCGAAAGCGUGGGGAGCGAACAGGAUUAGAUACCCUGGUAGUCCACGCCGUAAACGAUGAGUGCUAAGUGUUAGGGGGUUUCCGCCCCUUAGUGCUGCAGCUAACGCAUUAAGCACUCCGCCUGGGGAGUACGGUCGCAAGACUGAAACUCAAAGGAAUUGACGGGGGCCCGCACAAGCGGUGGAGCAUGUGGUUUAAUUCGAAGCAACGCGAAGAACCUUACCAGGUCUUGACAUCCUCUGACACCCUAGAGAUAGGC